ensembl:lncRNA
UGCUGGGAUACUGUGGUGAAAAUGACUCUGCUCCUUUCUCCCAGAGCUUACACUUUAAUGGAAAUAGACGGAAAUACGUCUUCUAAAUGGAUCUUGACCUUUACCUGUUAAUGUUAAAGGUGGAAUGGACUUACUUGUAAAAGAUUAAAAAGAUGUGUCCUCUUGUCCUUCAGGAAAAUACCAGAUUAUUUCCUGAAAGCUUUAGUCCCAGUUCCACAUCUUGAAGUUUCCUUCCACAAAUUUUAAUAUUAGAUCCCAACAUAUUGUCCUAAGAGCUUGUUUUGAUCAUCAAAACAAGUAGUUUAUAUCAGUUUUUUAAAGAAUUUGUCCCAUAGUUUGACCAUUUAGCCAGGAAUUAAAAUGUCUCCCUCUCCACCUCUCCAUGAAGAAUUGCUUGGAUUUCUAGGUCAUAAGGGAUGUAGAAUAAUCAGUAUCAGUAUACUCUCAUAUUGAAUUGUUUCAACUUCUUUUUCAGUGUUUAGAUCCUCACGUUUGUGAAGGAUCUCAUUGUAGGUAAAGAAGGUGGAGGUCACUCCUCCCCUGGUCCCCGCAGUGCCCGUGCUCACUCAUGUCCUUGCAUUUGGCUUAGAACAUUACAAUUAUGUUUACUUCCUGUCUCUCCAGGGGCUCCUUCCUUCAAGGACAGACACCAGGGUUUAGUCAUCCUCUGUACUUCCUGCACACACAGUCUUGAAUAAUGGCUCCCUGCCUUCUCAAGUCACUUGAAUAUCCCUAGUGCCUAACAAGGAACUGCUUGUGUCCCAGUGCUCAGGAAAUGUGAGAACUGAUCACCCACCACACGGCUGUGCCGGGGCUAUUUGGGGCUUUUGCUGUCAGGCAAGGAGAUGUUUUUACUUGGGCUUUCUGCCCUUGGGGAGUCUUCUCUUAAAUCAAGUCCAAAGUCCAAGGGGCAGGUGGCCAGAUGGUCCGAUGUGCUGCCCAGUAAGGCCGGGAGCCAAAGGAGCAGUACCCAGCCUCGCCCAGGACUGCCCUUCUCUCCGGGAGAAUUGUGACAAGGAAGCGAGGAGGUCAGAGCCCAGGCUGAGCCCACACCGGAGCUUCCCAGCUUCAUCCCUUUCCUCACUUCAGGGCUUUUGGCACACCUUGGAAAGCUAAGAGAUUUUUCCAAACCUAAAUGAGAGUACCUGUCACUUCAUUAGAUGGAUGAACAUCAAUCAGUGCCCUCCCUUUACCCAUCCGUAGACCAGAGGCGACCAGACACCAAGUGGAAGGAUGUAGCUGAGAACACAAGGAAUUUUUCUGUACAUAUUUCACAAAAGACAAGUCCGCUAGAUUAAGUCCGAUGAUUGUUCCAUUUGAAGAUGGAACAGGAAAUUAAAGUGCAUUAAAAUUUCCUUAUCUGUUUUAACAUGUUGAGUGGAAUAGCUUCAUAUUACCAUGAGUUUGUCUUGCUUUUAAUACAGACUUAUCUGUAUUGCUUCAGUGGUUUCCAGGUUGGAGCAAGGUUAUUGUGAUUUAAAUGAGCAGCUCGAAAAGCCUCUGCAGGCAGCUUUGGGGAUCUGUCUUAUGGGCAAAUCAUUUGAAACGCAUAAAACCUCAAGACAUGGUCUUCAGCAAAAAUUCCAUGACUUUAGUUAUGUUACCAUUGACUUUUCACAAAGAAAGAAUAUUUUCCUUGAAAAAUAAUUAGCUUGUCAUUUUUUUCCUUUGCAGCUUAAAGACAGUAGUGCUUUGCAUUAUGCAGAGUAAACUCUCCUUUCAAAAAAAAACGUAUUUUAGAGACCACAAGGAUAAGAUUCCAGUUUGUCCAAAAGCUUUAUAAAGAGGCUGAGUGUGAAGAACUACAGGUCUUCAGGCUCGAUCUUCUACAUUUUAUUACAGAGAUUCUCAAGUCUGGUUUUGUAACCCUCAGAUUGGAGCCAGUGAUUUCAAAGGGUUCCACAGUUCUCUCCGACAAGUGAUUUUAUUUCUUUAUAAAAAGCGAUAAGUGAUAUAUGCUACAUAGCAAUUUUAAUUUGGGGAAGAGGAGGACAUCACUGAAUAAAUAAUACAAUUUCACUAGGUAAAAAAGUUGGCUACAUGUGCCUUCUUACUUUACCAUAAACAAAUGGGUUUUACGAUUUGCCUUCUGAAGUCUGCAACCUCAGCAAAGAAAUCUACACAGUGGAUUGAUUUUUCUGGUCACUAUAGAAAGCAUAUAAACUUAAAACACUUUGUAACGACAUAUUUACCCUGCCAAGUGCCUAUAUUGCAAUAAAAUGUUUGUCCUU